rnacentral:rRNA from 1 species
GACAGAGGGGGCAAGCGUUGCUCGGAAUCACUGGGCGUAAAGGGCGCGUAGGCGGGAUGGCAAGUCAGUCGUGAAAUCUCUCGGCUCAACCGAGAAACGUCGGCUGAUACUGCCGUUCUUGAGGGAUGCAGAGGAGACUGGAAUUCCCGGUGUAGCGGUGAAAUGUGUAGAGAUCGGGAGGAACACCGGUGGCGAAGGCGGGUCUCUGGGCAUUUCCUGACGCUGAGGCGCGAAAGCUAGGGGAGCGAACAGG